GAGGAGGGAGUGAUUAAAUGUUCUUUCAUGCACUGUAUAAUUCAUCCUGUCCUGAUUUUAAAUGAUGACUUUACUUCAGCGAAACCAAGAUGGUUGCGGAAUGUUGACGAUGGAGAAAACGAAAACAAUAAAAUGAGAGGUUAUGAAAAAACAGACAAGGGAAAAACGUCAAUUGAUGCCUUUAAAAAAUCAGAUAAGAAAUUUCAGAGAAUGGGAAUCGAAUAUAGCCGAUCAUUUUGCCCAUAUUGACUCAAGCUACUUUACAAAAAAAGAGUUAGCCUGAUAUUGCAUUUGUUAAGAUAUGUUAAUUAAAUGUAAAAUAUUUUGUCUUAA